GAUGAACGCUGGCGGCGUGCCUAAUACAUGCAAGUCGAGCGAACAGACGAGGAGCUUGCUCCUCUGACGUUAGCGGCGGACGGGUGAGUAACACGUGGAUAACCUACCUAUAAGACUGGGAUAACUUCGGGAAACCGGAGCUAAUACUGGAUAAUAUAUUGAACCGCAUGGUUCAAUAGUGAAAGACGGUUUUGCUGUCACUUAUAGAUGGAUCCGCGCCGCAUUAGCUAGUUGGUAAGGUAACGGCUUACCAAGGCGACGAUGCGUAGCCGACCUGAGAGGGUGAUCGGCCACACUGGAACUGAGACACGGUCCAGACUCCUACGGGAGGCAGCAGUAGGGAAUCUUCCGCAAUGGGCGAAAGCUUGACGGAGCAACGCCGCGUGAGUGAUGAAGGUCUUCGGAUCGUAAAACUCUGUUAUUAGGGAAGAACAAAUGUGUAAGUAACUAUGCACGUCUUGACGGUACCUAAUCAGAAAGCCACGGCUAACUACGUG
rnacentral:rRNA from 1 species